rnacentral:lncRNA from 1 species
GUCUGCGUGGCCUGCUCGGCUCAGAGGCCUCCACCACGGUCCGCUCCCUGCCGGACGCCGCGCUGCUGUGGCCGCGGUGGUUCUGUGGCUGUGAGGGCCGUUUCUGUCCGUCCACACCGCCUUCCCUCUGCAGAUUUCCUCUGCAGAGGCCCGGAGUUACCAGCAAGGUCUGACGCAGCAGAGUGCAGAAACGGCCUCCCUGUCUGUCAAAGUGGCCUCCCGAGGACACCCAGCGAGGCCACCAGAUCAUCACGUGGAGUAUCGGUGGCCUUAUUAAAACAAAAACAACAACUCCACAGCCCGGCGAGCGCAGCCCAAAGGGAUGAGAAGAUGGAUAUGGCCCGGAGAUAAUGCACACCUCUCGUGGGGACAGUGUCCCCAUCCCCCUCCGGCUGCACUGAAGACCUGGAGCAAUGGCUGCCAUCCAUGCGCGAGGACCCCUCGGAGGUUCCACCUGCACAGACCUUGCUAAGGGUGAGGUGAUUACUAGAAGGAGCACCUUUUCUAGUUAAAAUCUAACUAGAUUCUCCUUGGCAACUUGUCUUACAGAAACAGAAAGACUGUGGGGAGAGUCCGUUUUCUUAGAGCCGUAUGAAGAAAUCCUAAAAACCAACUGCCCAAUCUCAACUCGUAACAGGGAACCUGGGGAGUGACAUCAGAGAUUCCCAAUGUUUUCCUCCUCGUUGAUCCCUGCGAUGAAGGCACUUGCCCAUGUGUAUUCUGUAGUAGGAGUUUGCAUUCUGAAACUGGUCUUUAUUAAAG